rnacentral:rRNA from 1 species
GACGAACGCUGGCGGCGUGCUUAACACAUGCAAGUCGAGCGGUAAGGCCCUUUCGGGGGCACACGAGCGGCGAACGGGUGAGUAACACGUGGGUGACCUGCCCUCAGCUCUGGGAUAAGCCUGGGAAACCGGGUCUAUACUGGAUAUGACUCCAUGACGCAUGUUGUGGGGUGGAAAGCCUUGUGCGGCUGAGGAUGGGCCCGCGGCCUAUCAGCUUGUUGGUGGGGUGAUGGCCUACCAAGGCGACGACGGGUAGCCGGCCUGAGAGGCGACGGCCACACUGGGACUGAGACACGGCCCAGACUCCUACGGGAGGCA